rnacentral:tRNA from 1 species
UGCGGGGUAGAGCAGUCUGGUAGCUCGUCGGGCUCAUAACCCGGAGGUCGCAGGUUCAAAUCCUGUCCCCGCUACUA